GUGGGGAAUCUUCCGCAAUGGACGAAAGUCUGACGGAGCAACGCCGCGUGAGUGAUGAAGGUCUUCGGAUUGUAAAGCUCUGUUAAUCGGGACGAAAGAGCCUAGUGUGAAUAAUGCUAGGAAGUGACGGUACCGGAAUAGAAAGCAACGGCUAACUACGUGCCAGCAGCCGCGGUAAUACGUAGGUGGCAAGCGUUGUCCGGAAUUAUUGGGCGUAAAGCGCGCGCAGGCGGAUCUGCCAGUCUGUCUUAAAAGUUCGGGGCGUAGCCCCGGGAUGGGAUGGAAACUACAGAUCUAGAGUAUCGGAGAGGAAAGUGGAAUUCCUAGUGUAGCGGUGAAAUGCGUAGAUAUUAGGAAGAACACCAGUGGCGAAGGCGACUUUCUGGACGAAAACUGACGCUGAGGCGCGAAAGCCAGGGGAGCGAACGGGAUUAGAAACCCCGGUAGUCC
rnacentral:rRNA from 1 species